CAAUAGCGUAUAUUAAAGUUGUUGCAGUUAAAAAGCUCGUAGUUGGAUUUCUGGUGGGAGCGAUCGGUCUGGCGCUUAGCGCGAGUACUUGCAUCGUCUCCGGCCAUCCUUGGGGAGAGUCUGUCUGGCAUUAGGUUGUCGGGCAGAGGAUCCUCAUCGUUUACUGUGAAAAAAUUAGAGUGUUCAAAGCAGGCUUAUGCCGUUGAAUACAUUAGCAUGGAAUAAUAAGAUAGGACUUUGGUACUAUUUUGUUGGUUUGCGCACCAAAGUAAUGAUUAAUAGGGACAGUUGGGGGUAUUCGUAUUCCGUUGUCAGAGGUGAAAUUCUUGGAUUUACGGAAGACGAACUACUGCGAAAGCAUUUACCAAGGAUGUUUUCAUUAA
rnacentral:rRNA from 1 species